rnacentral:rRNA from 1 species
UACGAAGGGGGCGAGCGUUGUUCGGAUUUACUGGGCGUAAAGGGCGCGCAGGCGGUUCUGUUUGUCGAGUGUGAAAGCCCCGGGCUCAACCUGGGAACUGCGCUCGAAACGGCGGAACUAGAGUUCGGGAGAGGAGAGUGGAAUUCCCAGUGUAGAGGUGAAAUUCGUAGAUAUUGGGAAGAACACCGGUGGCGAAGGCGGCUCUCUGGACCGAUACUGACGCUGAGGCGCGAAAGCCAGGGGAGCGAACGGG